rnacentral:rRNA from 1 species
AGCGAACGCUGGCGGCAGGCUUUACACAUGCAAGUCGAACGCCCCUUCGGGGGAGUGGCAGACGGGUGAGUAACGCGUGGGAAUUUGCCUUUUGGUGGGGAAUAACGCAGGGAAACUUGCGCUAAUACCGCAUAAGCCCGUGAGGGGAAAGAUUUAUCGCCAAAAGAUAAGCCCGCGUCUGAUUAGCUAGUUGGUGAGGUAAUGGCUCACCAAGGCGACGAUCAGUAGCUGGUCUGAGAGGACGACCAGCCACACUGGGACUGAGACACGGCCCAGACUCCUACGGGAGGCAGCAGUGGGGAAUAUUGGACAAUGGGGGAAACCCUGAUCCAGCGACGCCGCGUGCAGGAAGAAGGCUUUCGGGUUGUAAACUGCUUUUAUAUGGGAGGCCCCUUUCGGGGAUACAGUACCAUAUGAAUAAGUCACGGCUAACUACGUGCCAGCAGCCGCCGUAA